CAACCAGUGGCGUGCUGGCAGGGGGGGCCGGGGGGCCACGGCCCCCCCAGCUGGCAAUUUUUGGGGGGCGCAAAAAUGAAAAGGGGGCGCCGAUCCCGCGCCGAAUUUUGAAAGUAGGUGGGAAGAAACGCAUUCGAAAAAAUAUAGUUGCUAAUUCCGCCAAUGAAAGAUGUGUUUAUAGACUUAUAAACAGACUAAGCGCAUAGGCGACAAAGUGAGUAUAUUAAAUUGCAGACUAUUUUGUCUAACCGUAUUUGCUACCUCACGACUCACACGAAAUCACUCGUUCAUAUAGAAACAUGAUCAGUGAUCACACGCAAUGUCUCAUUACCGGAAUAUUGAUCAGGCUUCGAAGCGAUCACGGGAAUUAUGCCCUUUUUUGCUGGUAUUAUACCCUUAUAUUAUGCCCUUUAUUAUGCUUCACGAAUCACGAGAGCGGCGCAAAUUAGAUAGUUGAAGUUAUGAUAAUGUAAAGUUGUGUACGCAAUUUAGUUGUUUGCGCAAGAAACAUUAUGAGUAAUGUAAGUAAUGAGAUAAUGAUGAAACACGCCCUUUUGGCAGCCAGGCAAGGAAACCUUAAAAUGCAUAUGCGUGGGGUUCGUGUGUUAUUGUAUAAAAGAGCUGUAAAUUGUAAAUGUAUUCAGAUCAGUAGAGAAUAGAAUUGGGAUUAGAUUAAUUGCUGGAAGUAGUUAGCAUUGCCCAAUUUAAGUGCUACUACUAAAUUCUAACCAAUUUUCAAAUUUCGACACGUUGUAAUGCCGUUUCCUGACCAUCAGAUUUCUGUCAAAUCUUCCCCCAAAGUCCAGGAAAUGGCAUUUCAGAGACUCUAAAUUCAAAAAUUUUCCUGGGGGGCAUGCCCCCGGACCCCCCUAGACAAACCUCGCACCUGCGGCGCUCGGCUCGUGCCUUCGGCCCUCGUUUAUCAAGGGUAAUAUUAUAGGGGCGCAUAUUAGUUGCCAGCCGACUGGCCUCCCCAGAAAAAUAGUACCCAGCACGCCACUG